AGAGUUUGAUCAUGGCUCAGAUUGAACGCUGGCGGCAUGCCUUACACAUGCAAGUCGAACGGCAGCACGGGAGCUUGCUCCUGGUGGCGAGUGGCGAACGGGUGAGUAAUAUAUCGGAACGUGCCCUAGAGUGGGGGAUAACUAGUCGAAAGAUUAGCUAAUACCGCAUACGAUCUAAGGAUGAAAGUGGGGGAUCGCAAGACCUCAUGCUCGUGGAGCGGCCGAUAUCUGAUUAGCUAGUUGGUGAGGUAAAGGCUCACCAAGGCGACGAUCAGUAGCUGGUCUGAGAGGACGACCAGCCACACUGGAACUGAGACACGGUCCAGACUCCUACGGGAGGCAGCAGUGGGGAAUUUUGGACAAUGGGCGCAAGCCUGAUCCAGCAAUGCCGCGUGAGUGAAGAAGGCCUUCGGGUUGUAAAGCUCUUUUGUCAGGGAAGAAACGGUUCUGGUUAAUACCCGGGGCUAAUGACGGUACCUGAAGAAUAAGCACCGGCUAACUACGUGCCAGCAGCCGCGGUAAUACGUAGGGUGCAAGCGUUAAUCGGAAUUACUGGGCGUAAAGCGUGCGCAGGCGGUUGUAC
rnacentral:rRNA from 1 species